ACGCUCGACACCUACGGGAGUCAGCAGUGGGGAAUAUUGCACAAUGGGGGAAACCCUGAUGCAGCGACGCCGCGUGAAGGAAGAAGUAUUUCGGUAUGUAAACUUCUAUCAGCAGGGAAGAAACUGACGGUACCUGACUAAGAAGCACCGGCUAAAUACGUGCCAGCAGCCGCGGUAAUCUGAGCGGGCUGGCAAGGC
rnacentral:rRNA from 1 species